rnacentral:rRNA from 1 species
CACACCGCCCGUCACGUCAUGGAAGUGGAUGGUACCAGAAGCGGGUAGUUGAACCGAAAGGGAGACGCUUGCCACGGUAUGAUUCAUGACUGGGACG